rnacentral:lncRNA from 1 species
UGGCUAAUUUUUGUAUUUUUAGUAGAGAUAGGGUUUCAUCGUGUUGGCUGGGCUGGUCUCAAACUCCUGACAUCUAGUGAUCUGCUUACUUCGGCCUCCCAAAGUGCUGGGAUUACAGGGUUGCAUCGAAUAAGACCUGAAACUCCACCAGGUGCCACAUGUCAGCAUAGUAAUGGUGCCACCUCUUACUGGAGCUUAAAUCACCGGAUCUUCCCACCUCCACAACUAAGGACAGAGGAUGCCGAAGGUGGCGCUCCUGCCUCUGGAUGCUGGGCUGCAGUGUCACGCUCCCAAGCCCACCUUAGUGUCUGACACCCGUGCUCCUCUCUGCAGCUGGGUGUCAUUGCAGCAUAUGGCAAUGAGCUGGCUCUGUUUCUCAUGGGCUGUGUGAAAUUUAGCCAGCUAAAUAAAAGGAUGCUACCACUAAUGGUAAUUCUUUCCUGUAAUUGUAAUUAAUUGGGAGGUAAUUAAUUUAAAAGGCUUAGCAUAGUGUCUGACACACAGUAAUCACUUACUAAAUAGUACUUACUAUUAUCUUAAACUAGCUUGAAGUCUGGACACUAUUUUUUUCUAGAGCACAAAGGGCAGAUUUGUGUGACCCAGAAUGGAUUUAGAAAUGGAUUUAAACCCAGAGGCGACUCUAGCACGGCAGAGUGGAGAAUCUGCUACCUUUUCUCUUCCAUUGUAUUUCAAUGUUUGAAGCACUCGUUGGUAGGAAGGUUAAUGGAAAGGCUCAGUGGAGUGUGUGUAUGCUUUUGUUUGUUUGUUUUUAGAGAUGGGGUUUCACCAUGUCAGCCAGGCUGGUCUCAAACUCCUGACCUCAGGUGAUCCACUCACCUCGGCCUCCUGAAGUGCUGGGAUUAUAGGAGUGAGCCACCACACCUGGCCUUUUUUUUUUUUUUUUUUUUUUUUGAGUAUUCAAAGUACAGUAACUUUUUCAGGGCAUUGCUUAGAAAUGGACGUGUGUGUGUGUGUGUGUGUGUGUGUGUGUGUUAUGCAUAAAUGAAUGAAUAAAUAAAUAUAGGCUUUUUUUUCUCUCUGAGACAGAGUUUUGCUCUUGUUUACCCAGGCUGGAGUGCAAUGGCGCUAUCUCGGCUCACCGCACCCUCUGCCUCCUGGGUUCAGGCAAUUCUCCUGCCUCAGCCUCCUGAGUAGCUGGGAUUACAG